AGGGGGUGUGCCGGUGCCCGCUGCCGGAGGAAGGAGCGGGAGGGGCCGGGAAGACAGCCCCGCGCCUGGCUUUCGUUCUGUGUGACCAGUGAAGACUCUUAGAAACAAAGGGGCUGUUUAGAAGGCAACAGAGAGAUGUUAUUCCAGGGGCUUUCCUCUUUGAUUCUGAAGAACACAAGGUCCAUUUAACCAUUCGACAAAGCAAAACAAAAUUUCUGAUCAGUCCACCACGGAGAAGAGAACAUGCCAGUGGAUAUGGGAACAUGCAGGAGAGCCCACGUCGGGCAUGCAUUGUUCAUUUGUCUAGGGGAGGGGGCUGCAGUCAAAGCUCCCACUGUCUAGAGUGUUAAAAUGAAACAGUUUUCUCUUUAUUAAGUACAUACCUCCUUGAGACUCCCUCUGCUGGACACUCCGGGUGAGCCUUAGAGAAGGAACUUGGCAUUGAAUUCAGAACUAUUGACUGCCGCUUUCUUUCCCUGUUACAGUGGACUGGGUAUGUGGGUUGGGAUGUAUUUUGUCAACUUUGUGCAAAGCCACCUUGGGAACUCCACUGCUCACGUGUUCAUUCGCUCUAAAUCCAUGUGAAGUGUUGGCCAUCCCCCGUUCCUGAGACCCGGCCCUCCCAUUUUUAUUACAUAGCUCUUUCAAUACAUCGCAUCAGAUAAAGAACUGUAAGUGUGUAAGGUGUUACAGUUUAAGAAUAAUCAUGAUCUCAAAGGUCUCAGCUCACAUGUUUUCCUUGCCAGCCUGCCUUCUGUGUCUCAGGUGACCCACCGGUCACCCUUCUCAACCAUAGGUUUCCCUCAGUUUUGUCUGUGUGCUUUCUCAGUUGUUCCUGUGUUUGGUAGCCUUUUAUUCUACAAGAGCCCCCCCCCCCCGUUGAACU
rnacentral:lncRNA from 1 species